rnacentral:rRNA from 1 species
CCUACGGGUGGCAGCAGUGGGGAAUAUUGGGCAAUGGAGGAAACUCUGACCCAGCAACGCCGCGUGAAUGAUGAAGGUCUUCGGAUUGUAAAGUUCUUUUCUCAGGGAAGAAGAAAGUGACGGUACCUUAAGAAUAAGCCUCGGCUAACUACGUGCCAGCAGCCGCGGUAAUACGUAGGCGGCGAGCGUUAUCCGGAAUGACUGGGCGUAAAGGGUGCGUAGGCGGUAUGGCAAGUUAGUAGCGUAACUCCAAGGCGUAACCUUGGAACUAUUACUAAUACUGUUGGGCUUGAGUGCAGGAGGGGCAACCGGAAUUCCUAGUGUAGCGGUGGAAUGCGUAGAUAUUAGGAGGAACAGCAGUGGCGAAGGCGGGUUGCUAGACUGUAACUGACACUGAGGCACGAAAGCGUGGGGAGCAAACAGGAUUAGAUACCCGGGUAGUC